GACGAACGCUGGCGGCGUGCCUAAUACAUGCAAGUCGAACGCAGUGGGGACGGGUGAGUAACACGUGGGUAACCUCCCAUCAGAGGGGAUACCACUUGGAAACAGGUGCUAAACCGAUACUGAUGUAUGGACCAGCGGUGCAUUAGCUAGUUGGUGAGGUAACGGCUCACAAAGGCAACGAUGCAUAGCCGAGCUGAGAGGGUGAUCGGCCCCACGGGGACUGAGACACGGCCCAGAAUCCAACGGUAGGCAGCAGUGGAGAAUCUUCGGCAAUGGACGAAAGUCUGACCGAGCAACGCCGCGUGAGUGAAGAAGUUGUUCGGAUCGUAAAUCUCUGUUGUUAGAGAAGCGGUAUCUAACCAGAAAGCCACGGCUAACUACGUGCCAGCAGCCGCGGUAAUUC
rnacentral:rRNA from 1 species